ACCAGCAUCACCAGCAUCACCACCACCAUUGUCAUGAUAAACAUCAACAGUAGCAUUCUUGCCAAAAGCCUAUAUAAGGACAUUGGAAGAAGGAAGAUUCACUCUUCUUCGCCUGCUUGCAUUCACUUGCCAGCACGUCUGUUGGAACCUACAGAUGCACUGUACCUUCUACAGAAGACCAGAUGAAACAACUAGCCUCAUGGGACUGAGCAACUAUUAGAUUCUUGGAUUUACCAUUCACAGCGGACCAUUGUUGGGGUAGUUGGACUGCAGACUGUUUAUGCUUUGAAAGCUGCAGCCCAUGGAAGAGCUGAAGGGGAACGGAGCUCAGUCCAGCAUGUCUGCCUUGGGACAGCAACUCCGUCUUUCACGCGCUGCCCUCAGCUGCACAUCAGAAGUCACCAGCACCAGAGAUUUCUUUAGAAACAUUUGUGCUUAGAAAGCAACAACAACAACAAAAAAUUUACUGUAAAAACUGUUGUGCCUGUCAAGCCUUUGGCAAAUGCUGGAUGCUAAUGAAUCGGCCGUGCCAAGGUCACAGUGGCUCUCCUCUCAUGAGACACUGUAUAGGAGAAGAAAAUGUUAACAGAAAACCAACCCCGGAAAGGUAAAGAGGACAGUUGAAGGAGCAGUCAGGGACUCCCCUGGUGUUUCCUACUUGUCAAGUGUUUCUGUGGCGACAUGGUGCUGUCAGUCACAUCACGUGAAGAGCUUUCCUCCUGGAAAAGCCGUGCUGUCUUCAGAUCUCAGCUGCUUUCUCUCACACCCCUUUUAUGCUGAGGUAGUGAUCAAUAGGUGCGUUGGCCGCUCCUGGUGCCAGGAGAGCCUGGAAAAGAGCAAAGCUGACUCCCUUGGAACAGAGUAUGAGCUCCUUUGAGGUUGGGCAGGUGAUGUUUGCCCCAGCCUUGCUGUGGGCCACCUCCCAUAUCGAUCUCCAGUGUGACAAGUGACAAUAAAGACAGAAAUGAGGUAUAAGAUUCUGUCAUGUAAAUCUGGCAAGGGCAUUCAGGUUUGUUGACCUGCUAACAUCUGGAUGAGCCUAGCUGCAAAACACACCACAAAGACGGAUGGGAUGGCACAGUGUUCUGCUGAUCGCUCUAUGUCACGCUGUCCUGCCGCCUCAGUUGGGCUCUUUCGCCUUCCCAGGGUACCUUGCCCGAUUUCUUAGGAUGUCUACAAAUGAUCAGCAGAACCCAGGAGUGGAAGCCACAGAUCCAUCGGAAUGAGAACAUUAGACAUACGAAUGGGAAUUUGUAGGGAGCCUGGGAAUGAGGAUGCAGAAUGAAGGAAGCAGCGUCAGGACGCGCAGGUUGACGCGGCAGCAAGGGUGGACUGAAGUACCAAGCUUGGACUCACACAGUCUCCCAUAGCUGAGAAGUGGACCUCAGUGUCCUGGGGCAGGUGGAAGCCUAGGAACACUUCUUGGGUCUUGGGAGUUGAGGACACAGAGAAGGAGCUGAGCUUCGGCUACUUAGG